ACUUUCGGUUUUGUAGUUAUUUUUAGUUCCCGCGCUUUGGUCAUGUGAUUAGUCAUGUGGUAGUUUUAUACCUGUUGUACGUCAUUCUUUCGCUAUAACUGACAGAGGUCAGACAUGUUUUAUAGAGAGAAGUGAAACGUUUGUCUUGAGUUUGUUUUCUAAACUCGGCUAGCAGUGUGAGGUGUAGCAUUUUAUCCUUUUGUAAAGUAGAUACAGUAACCAGAGCACAGACAGAGAGACGUGGUGUGUGUCAUGUAUUGUUACAGAAAGGGUUUGAUCCCAUCAGAUCAACCUGAAAGGUUUUGGUAUCUGUCCGUAAGAAGGAAUAGUAUUUAGAAGAGUGCUGGUAUUAACUGUUAUCAACUGGUAUUAAAUACAAUAAAGUAUAAAAGAUCGAACAAGUCUUCUUGGAUGUGUUUGGCCAUAGUAUAUAGUCGCAGAUCCCAAGAUUACAAAUGGAGCCCCCAGUGAUAAACCAGUGAGGAUACCAGUGAUACACUAUGGCAAUGGCAGUGACACACCAGAAAUACUUCGGGGAUACUCUUCAUCUACUGAGGACAGUAUUUCUUCGGCUGGAGGAGAAGACAUUUAGUGUGUGUGUGUUUCAAGUAAAGACAAUCAACAAGUGUUUGUGAAUAGUAUAGUGGUCACAGUUUACAGUAUUAAAAGCCAUAUAUACCAGGUUUGUAACCGGAGCACAGACAGAGAGACGUGGUGUGUGUCAUGUAUUGUUACAGAAAGGGUUUGAUCCCAUCAGAUCAACCUGAAAGGUUUUGGUAUCUGUCCGUAAGAAGGAAUAGUAUUUAGAAGAGUGCUGGUAUUAACUGUUAUCAACUGGUAUUAAAUACAAUAAAGUAUAAAAGAUCGAACAAGUCUUCUUGGAUGUGUUUGGCCAUAGUAUAUAGUCGCAGAUCCCAAG